GCAGGCGGUUUUUUAAGUCUGAUGUGAAAGCCUUCGGCUCAACCGAAGAAGUGCAUCGGAAACUGGGAAACUUGAGUGCAGAAGAGGACAGUGGAACUCCAUGUGUAGCGGUGAAAUGCGUAGAUAUAUGGAGAACACCAGUGGCGAAGGCGGCUGUCUAGUCUGUAACUGACGCUGAGGCUGAAAGUAUGGGUAGCAAACA
rnacentral:rRNA from 1 species